UACGUAGGGGGCUAGCGUUGCUCGGAAUUACUGGGCGUAAAGCGCACGUAGGCGGAUUGUUAAGUCGGGGGUGAAAUCCUGGAGCUCAACUCCAGAACUGCCUUCGAUACUGGCGAUCUAGAGUCCGGGAGAGGUGAGUGGAACUGCGAGUGUAGAGGUGAAAUUCGUAGAUAUUCGCAAGAACACCAGUGGCGAAGGCGGCUCACUGGCCCGGUACUGACGCUGAGGUGCGAAAGCGUGGGGAGCAAACAGG
rnacentral:rRNA from 1 species